rnacentral:lncRNA from 1 species
GCAACCAAAACAGUGGUAAGAGGUAAGGUUUGUUUUGUUUUGUUUUAAAUGUUAACAGUGUCAUUCAUGACCACUGUUAAAAUGUCACUAGCAAAAUCAUUACAAACGCCUGUUACCGAAGGCCCAGUGUGGCUGGGAAAGAGUCCAAGCAGAAAUAAAUGAUAUGCAUGACAGUUUUUUAGGACAUUUUGUAAGGCUAAUCCUACCUUAUAGCUAGACCAUAGGUUUGUGAGUGACCCAACUUUUGGAAACAAGUACUCAUGAAAAAAAAUCAACCUUGAUAAAGACUUUUUGAAAUCAAAAAGAUUAAAGAUUUAAUUAUCUGAAACUGAUCUUCAGACUGUGAUUGAUGUUCAGAAUCUUUGACAUCUGUAUAGUUUUUAAAAUAAAAGGAAAAAUAUUUGUGGGCAUUGAAAAAUAGGGUGAAAUGCAUGGUCUAGGACUAGUGAUUAUAAUAUUUAACUUGAAUUGGUUUGUAAAGAGAUCAUAAGAUGAAUAACAGUUUCGAGUACAAGAGACAUAUAUAUAUUUUUACUGUAUGUAUUGUGAGCAUACAUACAUGUUUAUUAUGUGUGAAAAGUAUCUUAGAUGCAACUACCUCAGGG